UACGUCCAUAUCCCAUUGAAAUACUGCUUCUUGUACGAUCACCGAAGUUAAGCAAAUUCGUGCCUAGUCAGUAACUAGAUGGGUGACCGCUUGGCAAUGCCAGAUGCCGUAAG